rnacentral:lncRNA from 1 species
GUUGCCAAUUCCCUCCGAGCCAAAGAUCGAGCAUAUCAGAGUUUUUAGAGCAAGUGAAGAAACAAGGCAAUGUGGCUAGGAAAUUUUUGUAACUGUUGGAAAAAUGAGAACUUUGUGUAAUAGACUAUGUUGAUAAAUGAAAUGCCUAAAUAUGGGGCUAUCUUGAAAUCAACACCAAUUUCUUGCAUUUCAUUCAUGACUGACAUUCAUUUGACAUUCAUGCAUUUAUUCAUGCAUCAAUUCAUUCAUUGCAUAUCCCAUACUCGUUCGCUGAGGUUAAAACGUACAAUUCGCAGUUGCAAGACUUCAAGACUGGAACCACGUCAUCCAUAUAAAACGCGCCGACAAGCUAGAGUAACGGAGAAUGAAUUCAAUAAGAGAAUUGAAAGGAUGGAAAGGGCUCAAAAGGAGUUACAAGAGCAACUGGCCAAAUCGCAACAAGAGACGAGAGACCUAAUGGUAAGAUCUCGAGAGGAAUCGCUCGAGCAAAGAGAUCAGAUGGCUAAAAUGAUGGAGAUGAUGACAACUUUGGUCAAAGGAAAAGGACCCAUGCAGAACUCCGAUGUUAUGGAACCUCGGUCAAGAAUUCACCAUGAUCAGGAUCCACUCUAUCCCCCGGGAUUCACUCCAUCGCCCGCAUAUACAAUACAAAGAGGGUAUACUCAAGAGGAACCCACUGGCUUGGAACAUCGACCUAUGCCACCUGCUCCACCCACUAAUUUGGGGCAAGGAAUGUUAGCGUCGAACCCAGGGGCUAGUCCUGCUAAUCCACUAGUUCUAGAUCUGGAUGACCCAGCAGAGGUAGCCAAGUUGAAAUUGGAUAACCAUGACGCAAAAUAUAGGAGUCUAGAGGAAAGACUCAAAGCAAUAGAAGGCACUGAAGUCUUCUCCGUACUAGGUGCCAAGGAACUCAGAUUGGUACCUGAUCUAAUUUUGCCUCCGAAGUUCAAAGUGCCUGAUUUUGAGAAGUAUGAUGGGACAAGGUGCCCAAAAGCACAUCUCAUUAUGUUCUGUCGAAAAAUGACCGGUUAUGUGAACGAGGAUAAACUACUCAUACAUUGCUUUCAAGAUAGUCUAACAGGGUCAGCUCUUCGGUGGUACAAUCAACUUAGUAGAGAAAAGAUUCGAACCUGGAAGGACUUGGCGUCAGCAUUUUGCGAGCAGUACAAGCAUGUAUCGGAUAUGGUGCCAGACCGUAUGACCUUGCAAAUGAUGGAGAAAAAGCCAUCAGAGACCUUUAGACAGUAUGCGCAGAGAUGGAGAGACGUCUCAGCUCAAGUGGAACCCCCACUAACAAAAACGGAGAUAACCGUUCUCUUUAUCAAUACUUUAAAGGCACCGUUUUAUGACAAAUUAGUGGGAAGUGCCACGAAAGAUUUCGCAGAUAUUGUAAUAUCCGGUGAACUCAUAGAGAAUGCCGUCAAGAGCGGUAGAAUGGAAGGAUCAGAAGGCUCAAGAAAAGCAGCACCCUUAAGGAAGAAAGAGCCAAAAGCCCACAUGGUGGGAACUGAGAGUCGUUACAUUCCCAAUUCGUAUCCUAACCAACCCCGACCUCGAAAUUAUCCACCCCCGAAUUCCUAUUAUCCCCCUCAAACCCCUUACUACCAAGCACCACAUCCGUCCUACCUCGUAUACGCCACGAACAACCAAAGACCCGUCACCACUUUCCCACAAAACACGGUACCCGCCCAAAGCCAAUCAAGGCAUAAUCCUGAAAGACCGCAAUUUACCCCUAUCCCUGUGUCGUAUGGGGAAUUGUACCUAAAACUUUUAGAAAAACAGCUAAUUUCUCCCCAUUACAUGGCACCCCUUAAACCUCCAUACCCAAAGUGGUACGAUCGAAACGCUAGUUGUGCAUACCAUGCAAGGAACCAAGGGCACUCUACUGAGAACUGUCUCGCUUUCAAAAGGAGAGUUCAAGGACUCAUUGACGCGGGUAUCCUACGAUUCGAUAGUGCUAGUAACGCCACGGGAAACCCGUUCCCUAACCAUACCGAAGGGAAUGUGAGCAUAGUGGGGAAAGAGGAUGAAUGGAAGGUCAGAAGAUGUGUGGCAGAAAUAAGGACGCCUCUACAGAAAAUCUGGGAGAUAUUGGUUAAGAAAGGAUUACUCUGUCACUCUGGUAGAGUUUUUGGAGAAGAAGGUCAAAGUUUUUGCAAUUUUCAUGGGAUUGUUGGGCACGACAUUUAGUCAUGCGAGGACUUUAAAAGGUUACUUCAAGACCGGAUGGAUAAUAAGGAGAUCAAUGUCCUUAACAAGAGUGAAGAUGCCAACGAAAGAGAAGUAUGCGUCUCUGAUAGCCAAUCAUCAGGGCCCCCUUAUAGUGCUGAUCGACCGUUGGUAAUUUAUUACGACGCGAUGAGAGAGCCAUUGAAACCACAGAUGGUAAUUGAAGUACCAUCUCCUUUCCCGUAUAAGGACAACAAAACAGUACCGUGGAAAUAUGAUGUUAACAUCGUUACACCGGAAGUUGAAAAGUCCAAAGCCAUAACUGAAGAUGUUGGGGAGGUAGGUCAUUUUACUCGAAGUGGACGAUGCUAUUCUAAAGAAGUUGAACCGGUAAAGAAAAGUAGCGACUCGAAGCAAAAAGGGAAAGCAGUGAUGUACGAGGUCGAAGUCGAGCAAGAAAUUCCACCCGUGCAAGAAACUAAAAAGCCUGUGAAUGAGGAAGAAGCUCAAGAAUUCUUGAAAUUUAUUAAGCACAGCGAAUAUAGUAUGGUGGAACAAUUGAGCAAGCAGCCAGCACGAAUCUCAGUUCUAUCUCUACUGUUAAAUUCAGAGCCACACCGGAACGCUUUAUUGAAGGUGUUAAAUCAAGCUUACGUGGCCAACAACAUAUCUGUCGAAAAGCUUGAUAGGUGGGUAAACAAUCUGAAUACGGACAACUUCAUCUCUUUUAGUGAUGAUGAGAUACCGCCAAAUGGUAGAGGCUCGGUGAAAGCGCUGCAUAUCACGACCCGCUGCAAGGGCUACAUAAUACCGAACGUACUCAUCGAUAAUGGGUCAGCGAUAAAUGUUAUGCCAUUGGCUACACUUUCCAGAAUACCGAUGGAUUUGUCCUACUUAAAUCCCUGUCAUUCCAUGGUAAGGGCAUUCGACGGGACGAAGCGCGAAGUCAUGGGAAAGAUCGAAAUCCCUUUGGAAGUGGGCCCCUACAUCUAUGAGGUCGAAUUCCAAGUCAUGGACAUUACACCCUCUUAUAACUACCUUUUGGGAAGACCUUGGAUUCAUUCUACUGGAGCAGUCCCAUCAUCCCUCCAUCAAAAGGUGAAAUUCAUCAUGGAUGGCUGUUUGGUCACAGUCGAGGGCGAAGAAGACAUCGUCGCAUCUAUCUCUGCUGAUGCGCCAUACCUGGAAGUAAGCAAGAGCGCAGUGGAAUGUUCCUUUUGAUCCCUUGAAUUCAUCAAUGCCACUUUCGUCGCUGAGAGAAAUAGAAUUCCGAUGCCAAAACUGUCGAGAAAUACCAGAAUGGGUGUCAAGUUGACCGUAGGAAGGGGAGAUCGUGCGAGAAGAGGUUUAGGGAGACAUCUGCAAGGAAUAGUGAGGGCUUUAAAGCCAGUGCACCACAAGGCCCGAUACGGUUUGGGGUUCCAGCCUGACAUGCACCAAAGAAGAAGACAGUGGAAGAAGGAUCAAGAGAGAAGAAUUGCAAGAACUUUGGGCCGAGAACCAGAAUGGGAACCAAUAGAGUACCCUCCUUUGUCAAAAAUAUUUACAUCUGCGGGAAUGAUGUACCCUGAACAAGAUGAUCCACGAAACAUGCUGGGAUUAAUUGAAAGGUAUUUUCAGAAUGUCAGUAUAAAUGUCAUUGACAAAGAAGCUGGUGCAAGUAAAGAUGUCUCGAGGAUACGCCCUUGCCCUCCUGGUUUCAUGUUGAACAAUUGGAUUGCUGAGAAGCUUCUUGUAGUUUAUAAGCCUUCAGAGUAAUGCUAAACAUCAACAUUCUAUUGUGUCCUUAGAUAUAAUAGAAUUCUUUUGUAAGAGUUUGCAUUCGCUCUUUAUCAUUUAAAUGAAUAUCAAUGAAGAUGCAUUUUGUCACGAUUUUUCGCAUUAUCACUAAUUUCAUAAUCAUUUUCUCAUUUCAUAGCCUAUCAUUACGUUUGCCUCAUUGCCAUGACAUAACAUUUGUUUGUUGUUUCCAAUACUUGGAUGCCCCCCUAUAGCUUCCUUUUCCAUUCAACUUUCAGGUGCUCAGAUAUUGACGACAUGAAUAAGCCCGUUACGAAUCUUGAAAUUGAUUUUGAGAAGGCUGUUUGCUUAGGAGAAUUUGAAGCCGAAGAAAAUGCUGAAGAUUAUGUCUCGUCUCCUGAAUUGUUAAGAAUGGUGGAACAAGAGGAUAAACAGGUUUUGCCUCAUGAAGAAUCUGUGGAAACAAUAAAUUUGGGCACUGAAGAGAGGAAACAAGAAGUGAAGAUUGGGACUUCUAUUUCAGAAAGUACUAGGCAUAAUUUGAUCACUUUACUCCGCGAAUACAAAGAUGUUUUCGCGUGGUCAUACCAGGACAUGCCAGGGCUAGAUGAAGAUUUAGUGGUCCAUAAGCUCCCAUUAAAGCCAGAAUGCAAGGCCAUCCAGCAAAAAUUAAGACAGAUGAGGCCCGAAAUGCUGUUGAAAAUAAAAGAGGUAGUCAAGAAGCAAUUUGACGCUGGCUUCCUACAAGCCUCCAAAUAUCCAGAAUGAGUGGCUAACAUAGUCCCGGUACCAAAGAAAGAUGGAAAAGUACGAAUGUGCGUGGAUUACCGUGACCUGAAUCGAGCAAGCCCAAAAGAUAAUUUUCCCUUGCCACAUAUUGACACGUUGGUGGACAACACAGCAAAACAUUCAUUGUUUUCUUUCAUGGAUGGAUUCUCGGGGUAUAAUCAGAUCAAGAUGGCCCUUGAGGAUAUGGAGAAAACUACCUUCAUAAUAAUGUGGGGAACGUUCUGCUACAAGGUGAUGCCAUUCGGGUUAAAGAAUACUGGGGCAACAUAUCAGAGGGCUAUGGUGACAUUAUUCCAUGACAUGAUGCAUAAAGAAAUAGAGGUCUACGUCGAUGAUAUGAUUGCUAAAUCUCGAGGAGAAGAAGAGCAUGUAAUGAACCUCAAGAAGUUGUUCGAAAGGCUGAGAAAGUUUCAGCUAAAGCUUAAUCCCGCCAAAUGUACAUUCGGGGCUACCUCGGGAAAGUUUCUAGGCUUCAUUGUCAGUGAAAGAGGUAUCGAAGUUGAUCCAGAUAAAAUAAAAGCCAUCCAAGAAUUACCACCUCCGCGCACGCAAAAAGAAGUUAGAGGAUUUUUAGGGAGAUUAAAUUACAUCGCCCGAUUUAUCACUCAACUUACCAACCAAUGCGACCCAAUCUUUCGGCUUCUUCGAAAACAUAACCCGGGAGAAUGGAACGAGGAAUGCCAAGUGACCUUUGAUAAGAUAAAAUAAUAUUUGUCCAGUCCUCCAGUGCUAGUACCGCCAACUCCGGGAAGACCAUUAAUUUUGUAUCUGACAGUGUUCGAAAGUUCAAUGGGUUGCGUACUGGGACAACAUGACGAGUCAGGAAAGAAAGAAAAGGCGAUCUACUACCUCAGCAAAAAGUUCACUGAAUAUGAGGCAAAAUAUUCGUCCAUUGAGAAAUAUUGUUGCGCUCUGGUUUGGGUAGCUCGGAGACUCAGACAAUAUAUGUUGUAUCACACGACAUGGCUAAUUUCAAAGCUGGACCCAAUAAAAUACAUGAUGGAAUCGCCGGCACUAUCAGGAAGAAUGGCACGAUGGCAGAUCCUCCUUUCGGAAUAUGACAUUGCCUAUGUAAGUCAGAAGUCGAUAAAAGGGAGCGCAAUAGCUGACUUCUUAGCAACUCGAACGACAGAGGAAUAUGAGCCUUUAAGAUUCGAUUUCCCAGAAGAAGACUUAAUGUGCAUCACAAAAAUAGAAUCCGAGUCAUCAAAAGAGAAGUCAUGGAAGAUGUGCUUUGAUGGUGCGUCAAAUGCUUUAGGGCAUGGAAUUGGAGCAAUCCUGGUAUCACCAGACGGGAAUCAUUAUCCGUUCACUGCAAGACUGAACUUCUUCUGUACCAAUAAUAUCGCAGAAUAUGAGGCCUGUAUCAUGGGGCUUCGUGCAACUAUCGAACGAAACAUCGAGAUCUUGGAGGUGUACGGGGACUCAGCCCUAGUGAUUUACCAAAUCCGUGGAGAAUGGGAAGUGGGGGACUCAAAAUUGAUUAAGUACAGCGAUUUAGUGGCUGGAUUGAUCAAGGAAUUCAAAGAAAUAACUUUUCAUUACUUCCCACGAGAAGAGAACCAACUGGCUGAUGCCCUAGCCACUUUGGCUUCAAUGUUCAAAGCAAGUAGAGAAGCAGAAAUAAUGCCCCUCAAAAUGAGCAUAUACGAGGUCCCUGCACACUGUUGUAGCAUUGAGAAAGAAGUAGACGGACGGCCUUGGUUCCAUGAUAUCUUAGAAUAUAUCAAGAAUCAAAGGUAUCCCGAACAAGCGAAUGAGAACGAUAAAAGAACAAUUAGAAGAAUGGCAGCGGGAUUUGUUCUUGAUGGGGAUAUCCUGUAUAAAAGAGGAAAGGAUCAGAUGCUUUUGAGAUGUGUGGAUGAUGUUGAAGCCAGAAAAAUACUUGAAGACGUCCAUGAGGGAAUUUGUGGAACGCAUGCCAAUGGUUUCAAUAUGGCCAGAAAGAUCAUGAGACUCGGUUAUUAUUGGCUGACAAUGGAAAGUGACUGCAUCAAUUUUGCCAUAAAAUGCCACAAAUGUCAAAUCUACGGCGAUAAAAUUCAUGUAGCCCCUUCACCCCUUCAUGUCAUGACUUCUCCGUGGCCUUUUUCUAUGUGGGGCAUGGAUGUCAUAGGGCCAAUUUCUCCAAAAGCUUCAAAUGGACAUCGAUUCAUUUUUGUGGUUAUCGAUUACUUCACAAAAUGGAUUGAAGCCGCUUCGUUUGCCAAUGUGACGAAGACUGCAGUGAGCAAGUUUUUGAAAAAAGAAAUCAUUUGCCGAUAUGGUUUGCCUGAAAGAAUCAUCUCAGAUAAUGCCACGAAUCUGAACAAUAAGAUGAUGAAAGAAGUGUGCGAGCAGUUCCAAAUAAAGCAUCAUAAUUCCUCGCCCUAUCACCCAAAGAUGAACGGGGCUGUUGAAGCAGCUAACAAGAACAUUAAGAGGAUCAUUGGGAAAAUGACUGAGACAUAUAAAGAUUGGCACGAGAAACUUCCAUUUGCUUUGUUUGCAUAUCGUACAUCUGUGCGAACAUCUACGGGAGCAACUCCUUUCUCUCUAGUCUAUGGAAUGGAAGCUGUGCUACCUAUCGAGGUUGAGAUCCCCUCUCUGCGAGUAUUGAUGGAAUCAAAGUUAGAAUAAGCAGAAUGGGUUCGAGCUCGAUAUGAUCAGUUGAACCUCAUUGAAGAAAAACGUCUAAGGGCAAUUUGUCAUGGGCAAAUGUACCAAAAGAGAAUGAUCGCAGCCCAUGACAAGAAGGUACGACCAAGAGAGUUCCAUGAAGGAGAACUCGUUCUGAGAAAGAUUCUCCCAAUACAAAAAGACUUGCGAGGAAAAUGGGCACCAAAUUGGGAAGGACCAUACGUUGUAAAAAAGGCAUUCUCGGGAGGAGCUUUGAUCCUUACCGAGAUGGAUGGGAAGGAGUUACCGAAUCCGGUGAAUUCAGAUGCGGUGAAGAAAUAUUAUGCUUAAGAUGAAAACCCGAAAAGGGCAUCUUAAAAAAAAAAGGAAGAAAAAAAAGGAAAAAGGGAUCAGGGCGAAAACCCGAAAAGGGCGUCUUGAUUAGUACAAAAAGAUCAGGAUGAAAACCCGAGAGGGCGUCCUAAUGAAACAAACCUGGCGGUCGAACGAUAGGUCAAGUAGUGAGACUACAGUAUUUGAAGCACUUCUGAAAGCUCGAAAUUUUCUACGCAAGAAGCCAUGCUCGAAAAGAUUAUUGAUUGAGGAACGUGGAAGAGUUCAUGUGUUGAAUAUCUAGAGCAUUUGUAUCCGUUGAAUACGACCUUUUCUUUCUUUUUGACAUUUUUACUCUCAUUGGUUAACUUUCUUUGUUUGCCGCAUUUAAAAUAAAGGAAUAUGAGAUAUCCUUUUUGUCCCUACCUGACCAUUUUCAUGCUUCUCAUUAUGUGUUUAUUUAAUGAUAAAUAGUGAAAUGACAUACUCUAAACAAAAGAAAUGUCAAGCAUUACCCGGAUAAGAAUUUGAUAAGUACAAGAUCUUCAAAGCAAGAACAAAGUUUAACCAAGGGCAAAAGGGUGAUAUCUGAGAAACGUCGAUUACUCGUAAAGCUCGAAGACAGGUAUGAAGCCUGAAGAGAAGGUCGAGAAUCAAAGCAAUGAACACAGAUCCUCAACAAUCAUGGCGAAAAUGACAUACGACCAAUAUGCUUAAGGAGCACUGCAUAAUCAUGUAGGCAUAAAGGCAUUUAAGACAAACAUGUGCAUAUCAUGAUGACAUCAUGCAUGGCAUAUACAGGUAAUCCAGUAAAGCAAGAAAUCUUGAAUGAGAGUCGCACUGAAUCAAAGGAAAAAAUACCCGAGUUCUACCAAAGGACUGGUUUUGGUAUUUUGAUGUUUAAUAUUCAUGCUUUCCAAGGAAAAUCAACUCAUAUUGCGAGAGAUGAGUUGAGCCUCAAGACACAUUGAGGUAUUUUUAAUUUUUUAAAAAAAUCAACUCAUAUUGGGAGAAGUGAGUUGAGCCUCGGGGCACGCCGAGGUAUUUUUAGUUUAUGUUUUAAAUUGACUCAUAUUGCGAGAAGUGAGUUAAGCCUUUUAAUUUUUGUUUUUCAAAAUCAACUCAUAUUGCUAGAGGUGAGUUGAGCCUCAGGACACGCUGAGGUAAUUUCAAUUUCUGUUGUCAAAAAAAUUAACUCAUAUUGCGAGAAAUGAGUUGAGCCUCAGGACAUGCUGAGGUAAUUUCAAUUUUUGUUUUUCAAAAUCAACUCAUAUUACUAGAGGUGAGUUGAGCCUCAGGACACGCUGAGGUAAUUUCAAUUUCUGUUGUAAAAAAAAAUCAACUCAUAUUGCGAGAAAUGAGUUGAGCCUCAGGACACGCUGAGGUAAUUUCAAUUUUUGUUUUUCAAAAUCAACUCAUAUUGCUAGAGGUGAGUUGAGCCUCAGGACACGCUGAGGUAAUUUCAAUUUCUGUUGUCAAAAAAAAAUCAACUCAUAUUGCGAGAAAUGAGUUGAGCCUCAGGACACGCUGAGGUAAUUUCAAUUUCUGUGGUAAAAAAAAUCAACUCAUAUUGCGAGAAAUGAGUUGAGCCUCAGGACACGCUGAGGUAAUUUCAAUUUUUGUUUUUCAAAAUCAACUCAUAUUGCUAGAGGUGAGUUGAGCCUCAGGACACGCUGAGGUAAUUUCAAUUUCUGUUGUCAAAAAAAUCAACUCAUAUUGCGAGAGGUGAGUUGAGCCUCAAGACACAUUGAGGUAUUUUCAAUUUCUGCUUUUCAAGAAAAUCAACUCAUAUUGCGAGAGGUGAGUUGAGCCUCAAGACACGUUGAGGUAUUUUCAAUUCCUGUUCAAUUUAUGUUUUUCAAAAAUCAACUCAUAUUGCGAGAGGUGAGUUGAGCCUCAGGACACGCUGAGGUAAUUUCAAUUUCUGUUUUUUCAAAAAUCAACUCAUAUUGCGAGAGGUGAGUUGAGCCUCGGGGCACGCCGAGGUAUUUUCAAAUUCUACUUUCAAAAAAAUCAACUCAUAUUGCGAAAGGUGAGUUGAGCCUUGGCUCACGUGUUGAGUCACUUUCAAUUUCUGUUUUUAUGUCUGUUUUCUAAAUCAACUCAUAUUGCAAGAGGUGAGUUGAGCCUCGGGGCACGCUGAGGUAUUUUCAAUUACUGUUUGGCAAAAACCAACUCAUACUGCGAGAGGUGAGUUGAGCCUCAGGACAUGCUGAGGUAUUUUCCAUUUCUGUUUUUCAAUUUAUGUUUUCAAAAAUCAAUUCAUAUUGCUAGAGGUGAAUGGAGCCUCAGGUCAUACGCCGAGGUAUUUUCAAUAGAUGUUUUUUCCAAUUCCUGCUUCUCAAAAAAAAAUUUUAACUCAUAUUGCGAGAAAUGAGUUGAGCCUCAAGACACGUUGAGGUAUUUUCAAGUUCUGCUUUUCAAAAAAAAAUCAACUCAUAUUGCGAGAGGUGAGUUGAGCCUCAGCUCUCACACUGAGGUAUUUUCAAUUUUUCGUUUUUUCAAUUUAUGCUUUUCAAAUUCUACUUUUCCAAAAUCAGCUCAUAUUGCAAGAGGUGAGUUGAGCCUCGGGGCACGCUGAGGUAUUUUCAAUUUUUGUGUUUUAAUUUCAACUCAUAUUACGAGAGGUGAGUUGAGCCUCGGGACACACGCCGAGGUAUUUUCAAUUAAGCCUUUUGAUUUUCUUUCAAAAAAAAAUCAACUCAUAUUGCGAAAAGUGAGUUGAGCCUCAGUUCACAUGUUGAGAUAUCUUUAGUUUUUGUUUUUAAUGUCUGUUUUUAAAAAGUCAAUUCAUAUUGCGAGAAAUGAGUUGGGCUCAAGAUCACAUGCCGAGUAAGAAUAAAGAUUGAAGUUAAUGAAAGACACCAGACUUGGUCUCUUUGAAGCUAUAGUGGAACCGGUCAAAAGUUGCAAGUCUUGUCUCCCUGAGGUCGCAGUGGAACUGAUCGAGGAUAUCAAAUCUUGUCUCGCUAGAGUUACAAAAGAGAAGAUCACGAAUCUCAUCUCACUGAAGUGAUAAAAGAGCAGAUUGAAACUGUAGAUCUUAUCUUUAUGAAGCUACAUGGAAGCAGAUCAAAGCCACAAAUCUCAUAUCCUUGAAGUUACAUUGGAGUAGAUCGAAGCUACAAGGCAUAUGUCAGAAGAUGUAGUGGAUUAAAUCUAAAGCUGAAAGAUGCAAUGGACUGGAAGAAGACUAUCUGAACAAGAAGAGCACCAAUGAAGUCAAGACUCGCAAGAUAGGGCAAAAUUGGCCUUUCUUUGUGUCUUUGCUCUAUUCUCGUUACACGACAAUGAGCAAAGAGGGGCAGCUGUAGUAGGCCAAUUUUGGCCCACUAAUACCAAGCCCAUUUCCCCCUCUUACAACCCAAACCCGAUUGAUCCAUUUCAAUACACUAAAACCCCUACCCAAACCUUAGCCCAACUACCCAAAACCCAACACUUGACCCAGGCCCAGAAGCCCAAACUCCAGACUUAGGGUUUCAGAAACCUUAGCCUACUCAGCCGCAACCCUCCCCACUUGUACUUAGCCCCAUACACUGCUCCACUAUAGCAGCCCCAUACCCCCACGCGUCUGACACCAUCUGCCGCUGCAUGCUCCUCCUCCACCACCAGCUCCUCCAUACCCUGCAAAGACAGAAGCAGACCAAACAGAAUAGGACAAAAGAUAAACAAUAUUUUCCUAGUUUUGUAGUCGGCUAUAAAGCUGAGAAAUAAGCAUUUGUAAAAGGGGGGAUUUUUGCGAUGAAAACAAAGAUUUUCUUUCAAUAUUAACAGAUUGAAUACAAGAACCAUUCGAAAUAUACAUAUACAAUCAGGGGCUCUAACACCAAAUCGGAGAAUCAAAUCUAAAACCUAAGGUGACUUUUUUUUUCUUUUUUUCUUUACUGUUUUGAGUUUGUUUUUUACAUAAAAAUACUAAAAAAUAUCAAAACAUAAAAACAUAUGUAUUAUUAAGCAAAAAAAAAAAGAAAUUUUACCUUUCCGGCCACCGCGUGCGGUGCCCGGCGCCGGCGCCGGCGAGCCUCCGGUGGCCGUCCGAUGACCGGCCCCUGGCCGGAGCUCUCCCCUUUCCCCGCUCCCUCUUUUCUCUCCCUCCUCUUCCCCUUUUUUUUUCUUUCUUCUCUUUCAAAUGAAAAAAAUAAAAAUUUUUAACUUAUAUAGGGGACCAAAACGGUGCGUUUUGGUCCCCCCCCUUUAACCAAUAAAACGACGCCGUUUCAAGGGUGGGUCGGGUCGACCCGACCCGCCCCAGCAAGGAUCCGCAUGUUUUUAAGAGCGGAAGGGCUAUUUGCGCAAUCAGCCCAUCUGCAUUUUUGGUGUUUUAAACUAGGUUUAUGUUUGUUUCUGAAUUGACCCCAGAAUUUUGCUCAGUUUUUAAUUUAAUCCCCGUAUAUGCGCAGCGUUUUAGAAAGUUUGAAAUUUUGCACUUUUAAUACCCCAUGGUUUUACCCGCAUUCAAAUAGGUCCUUUCCCCUUUAAUUUUUUUUUUAAAAUUCGCCCCAAAGCUUUGUUUUUAGUUCAUUUUUGGUCCUUUUUUUGUUUCCUUAUUUAAUAUGAUUAUUGUUAUUUCCAAUAUUAUAGUAUUAUUAUUAUUAUUACUAUAUAUUAGUAUACAUUUUUCUUUUACAUGUGAAUAUUGUAUAUAUUUAUAUAUAAUAUUAUUUUUAAUUAUUGUAUUUUAACAUUAUUAUUAUAUUAUAUAUACUUCUUCGUGUUUUAUUAUUAUUAUUAGUAUUAUUAUCAUUAUUCAUAUUAGCAUACAUAUGUUAUUAUAUAUAUACACAUUUCAUAUAGUAUUAUCUUUUUUACUAUUAUAUUUAUUAUUAUAUUCAUUGUUAAUACAUCUAUUUUUUAUACAUGUAUACAUACCCUUUUCGUAAUAUUAUUUUUUACACCUAUAUGUAUAUAUUUUAUUUUAUUGUUGCUAGUUAUGUACUUUUUUACUAUCUUAUACGUACUUCAAACACUAUACAUAUAGUAUAUUUCUAACACUACUACUAUUUAUAUAAAUAUUUUACGUAUAUACUCUUAAUUAUCUUCAUAUGUGUAUUCAUUGUAUCCUUGUUACGUUCUCGUAUUCAAUGCUAACAUUGCUUUUGAUCUUGCAUGCACGGUUAUUAUUUUCUAAUAUUAUGGUUAUGUUUGUUAUUCGUUUCAAAUGUAUCAAGUCGUUUCAUUUGCUUAUUUUCAUUUCGUAUCAAUUAUGUCUUGCAUUCUCUUGAAAAUUACGUUCCGGUUUUCUAAUUAAUUUCAAUAGUCAAGGCAAUAUAUCGAUUUAACAUUAAGUCAUCAAGUUCAUCGCUAUGUUGGGUGAACGUCAAUUGACUCGUGUUAAAGCGAUAUACCAUUCUAAAAGAAAAAACGGAAUAAACUAAAGUUUCUUGUUUUUUAAUCGGAUCACGACUAAAUUUUACAUUGAACCGUAUUUUUGAAAAUUAAGACAACAUGUGUUUAUGAGAUACCAAUUUUUGGGCGUCGCGAGGGUGCUAAUACCUUCCUUGCGCGUAACCGACUCUCGAACCCUAAUUUUCCUCUGGCUUUUAACGUAGACCUAAAUUCAGCCUUCCUUUUGUUUUAAAAAAAAAAGAAGUCUAACAGGUGUCCGGUCACACCUAGUAAAAAGGAUCGGUGGCGACUCCCUCUUUAUUUUAAAAUCGAACUUCAGUUUUCAAACUUUUUCACUAGAUCGCCACAAUUAGCGACCCCGGAACCAAUUUUUACGUCGCUACAAUAUUUAUAACAAUAAUUUUUUUCUAAAAAGUACUUGUGUUUUGAGCGAGAUGGAUCCUAGAGUUCUCAGGUUUCAACCGAGUGACAUUCUACAUUAUUCUCGUACCACGAAUCGUUUUGAGUGUGGGCUCGAACAAUUACGAAUCAAAUACAGAACCAAAAUUUUUUUUACUUUUAGUAGGAAAGCAAAUCUCUCUCUUAUGGAAACCGGUAGAAUUGUUAUUCCGAGAAAAUAAAAUUUAAAUUUAGAAAAUAAAUUAUCACUAUUUUGGGAUAGAAUAACAAUAUCUUACAGUGUGUUUUUAUCCCUACCAGUGCCAUCUAUUUAUAGGGAUAGAUAGAAGAACCCAAGUUGAAUUAGUAAAAUACAAAUAAUACUUAUCUGAUAGAAAAACUAGUCCAUUAGUUCAACUAGGAGAGAGAGGGUAAUAUUAGGCUUCUUAUGUAUUGGGUCCAAUUAUAUAUGCUUCAUGGGCUUUUAACUCAACACUUUAUAAUUUAAUCCAACUCAAUACAAGUUUUUCUAUUUCCCAAAAUAAUUAUUAUUUUUUAAUUUAAUUUAAACAAAUUAAUUUACCAAUUAAAUAAUUUUUUAACUUCGUUAUAGUCAUGAUAACUUUACCAUAAAAAAUUUAUGAGAAAAUAUAUUGAAUUUUCAUAUUCAAUGGAUUCACAAUGACCAAUUAAUUUAAUUCUAUUUUUUAACUUCAAUUAUUUAAUUAAAUAUUAAUUCGUAAAACUUAAAUUAAAUCUCAAGUCAUUUCCAUACUUAGUGAGAAGUCAUUUUAAUUUUUGAAUGUAACUCAUGACUCUAACUUUAUCAUUUCUAUCCAUUUUUGUUCAUUUGAUUCAAGAUACAAUUCAUUUUUGGUUCCAACAAGCUAGUGAAGGGACCGAUUGUGUAAUAUCCUGAUUUUGAGCCUAGUCGGAAUAGCGGUUUCGUGACCACAAAAUCUGAGACCUAGCUAUGAUACCAGCAAAUGUAACGCCCCGUACCCGAGACCGUCGUCGGAGUCGAACACGAGGUGUUAACAGACUUAAUUCAUUACUUAAACAGCUCAAACAAUUUAUUUUUAAAAUUUUCAAUCAAGCUAGCAAUCUGCAAUACAGUCGCUUAAAAAUUCAUAUCUCGAGUUCCAAAACUCUAAAUCCAAUUCCAUAAAUUUUCCCUGAAACUAGACUCAUAUAUCUAUUUACUAAAUUUUUUCUAGAAUUUUUGGUCAAGCAAAUUAGUACAGUUUAUUAGUUAAAGUCUCCCCUAUUUCAGGGUUUGACUGCUCUGACCUCUGUGUAUUAUGAAUUAGAUAUCUCCCUGUACAGAGUUUCAAUGACUAUUCCAUUUGUUUCUAAUAAAACUAGACUCAAUAAGAAAUCUUUACAUAUAAAUCAUGACUUAUAAUUAUCUUUUAACAAUUUAUGGUGAAUUUCCAAAGUCAGAAAAGGGGAUCCAGAAAUCGCUCUGGACCUGUUUCACAAAAAUUUAAACAUCUCAUAAAAUAUAACUCAUAUACCUGUUUUGUUCCAUCCAUAUGAAAAUAGACUCAUAAUUCUUCAAUUCCAUAUUUUAUUCACCAUCUAAUUGUAUCUCUACUAUUUUUAAUGAUUUUUCAAACUCACAUCACUGCUGCUGUCUGAAUCUAUUUUAUGGUAAAUUUUACCUAUUUCAUGGUUUCCAUGAAUUAGCUAGCAAUUUAGCAUACAUAACACCAAAUAUGAUCAUGAUUAGCCAUUCCAAUGGCUAAUCAUUACCAAGUAUUUCCAUACCACUCAAUAACCAUAUCAUAAGACCAUAUAUACAAAAUGAUUAUAAUGCUAUACAUGCCAUACUCAAAAUAUGCAAGCCAUUAUGCCAAGAUGGUAUACGGAUAUAGUGUGAGCAUGCCUCUGACCGUUCCCGAUUUCCGAGCUGGCUUGUCAACACUACAAGGAAUGAAAAGGAGGGAGUAAGCAUAAAUGCUUAGUAAGCUCACAUGCAAAUAGCAAGUAACACAACUAUAUACGCAAACAUAAAACAUCAUUUGCAUAAUCAUCACCGAGACAUUCAUAUCACAUUUUCAUUUAUCAUCUUACCAUAUUGUUGUUAUAUCAAGUUUUCAACCCGAGGUUAAGUACAUACCUGUUCAAAGUAUUCAUUUCACAACACUUACCAAUACGUCCCUUUCAUCUUGAGUAUUCCUCCAUUUGAGUAGAAUUUUACCCGUUGAACACAUCGGAAUAUAAUUCGGAUACAUGGAAAGUUUGCACAUAAGUGCCACAUAUGUAGCCAAGCUACUAUGUAACCCGCCCAUAAGCGAACUCGGACUCAACUCAACGAGCUCGGGCGUUCGCAUCCAUGAGUGAACUCGGACUCAACUCAACGAGUUCGGAUGCCUAGUUACAUCUCACGAACUCGGACUCAACUCAACGAGUUCGGACAUUGCAUCCAUAAGUGAACUCGGACUCAACUCAACGAGUUCGGAUGCUCAACCAUCCUAGUGACAUGUCACUUGUAUCCUAAUCUAUUCCUAAGGUUCAAACGGGCGUUUUCCUCUAUCACACAUCUUUGCCAUCUUCCACGGAAUAUCGAAAUUGAUACUUCGGUGAUAGUUCAUACUCAUCAAGUAAUUCACAUAAUUACAUAUUAUUCAACAAUAACCACAAAGCAUAAUAUUUCAUGAUAAUAAUCAGCAUCAUAUCAUAUAAACAACAUUAAAUUGCUUAAAAUGACAAUUAUGUUACAACAUUUAUACAUGAACUUACCUCGUAUGCGAAAAUGGCUACUUUUACCAUUUCAUCCACAACUUGGUAUUUUCCCCAUUUUAGCUCGAAUUUUAGUUUUCCUUGCUAAUCAAGCUUGGAAGCUUGAAAAACCCUAGCCAUGGUUUCUCCUUGCUAUAUUCGGCCAUGGGGUUGAAGAUGAGCAAAAUUGGCUUUUAAUUUUGUAUUUUAAUUCAUUUUACCCCUAAAUGACCAACAUGCCCUUACUACUAAACUUUCCAAAAAUUCCAUCCAUGUCCAAUUUUUGUCCAUAGACUUAGAAAUUGGUAAAAUUGCUAUUUAAGACCUCCUAAUUAAUAUUUCAAAACAAUUUCAUACUAGAAACUUCUAGAAUGCAAGUUUUACAAAUUAUUCGAUUUAGUCCCUAAUUUCAAUUUAAGCACUUUAUGCAUAAAAUUUCUUCACGAAAUUUUCACACAAUCAUGCAAUCAUAUCAUAGACCUUAAAAUAAUCAUAAAAUAAUUAUUUCUGUCUCGAAUUUUAUGGUCACGAAACCGCUAUUCCGACUAGGCCCAAAAUCAGGAUAUUACAGAUUGGACAUAUGUAAUUAGGGCUUAAACAGUGUAUAAUUAAGCUCCAACUUUUCACCUAUCAAUUAUAAACUCAUUUAGUCACAAAUUCAUUCCACUAUAGUAUCACGACUGAGCUCUCCCCAACUACAUACCAUUACCAAAGCUACUCGAUCAAUGCUCGUCCAAUGACCUUGUCAUAAUUGUAUCACCCUCAUAAGAUAUCCUUAACCUAUUUGGGAUAAAUCCGUUCUCCCAAUAUGAUCCUUUUUUAUUUCAUGGUAACUAUUACAUUUUCCUUCAUGAAAAGUCAAUUACUAUCAAAUAGUAAUUAAGCCAUUCAUCACAAAGACAAAUGACUCGUGAGUACGUUUACUUUUCAUCUAUCAUGUAAUGCCAAUAAGAGGAUAUCAUUUACUCACUUCUUGGUCUAUGGAUUCCACUAUUGUGAAUGAUGUUACAUACUGCAUAAGUCAUAUACCAAUGCAUUAGCUUUUUGGUUCCUUAUCUCCUUGAACUCAGACUUUUACUUAUGUCAAAGUAUAUGAGUCACACAUACAUAGUCAAUCAUGUACUCAGGAUUAAGGUAUGCCACAUUAUGAACGUCACAAGUGAAUAAAUUUAUAAAUAGAUUCAAGAUCUAUUUUACUUGGGUCUUGUCCAAUGUACUGUCAGUCCAGUCAGUCACAUCUAUGUAUCUAUCUUCUAGGAGUCAUUGCUCUAAUGCCCAAGACAAAGCAUUUCCCCAAUUGGGCUUGAUAGAUGUCAUAUUAAUGUUUCAAUCGGUUUGCUCAUUUCCAAUUAGAUUAAAGAUGUGUUUAGGUUCAUCUACUAAUACAAGAUGUCUUUUCGUAUUACGAUUUGACCAUGUAAUACCGCUUAAUAUUAGUUAAAUAUGAGAUAAUUAGUGAGCUAAUAUUUGCUUCUAUUUUACUUUGCGUGCAAAAACCAUUGUGGACAAUAUACCAAGGGUAUAUUUUAUUAACUUAUGGCAUAUUUUAACUUUUUGAAAGUUUAGAAUUUAGUCUUUAUACUUUUAUUUCUAGAAAUUUAAUCCAUUUAUUUUUCAGAUUUCAAAAUUAAAGUCUAACUAUUAAAUUUAUUUUUAUUAAAUUCAGAUUAAUUACAACGUCAUUUUUCUAAUUACAUGGCUACCAAGUGAGUAUUUUUUAAAUUUCAAAAUGUCACACCAACAAAUUUAAAAAAAAAUUUAACAAUGUUAACAAUUGGACUUGAAUUUUAAAAUUUGAAAAGUAAAGGGAUUAAAUUCAUAGAAAUAAAAGUAUAGGAACUAAAUUUUAAAUUUUCAAAAAGUACAAUGACACAUCAUAUAUUUUAGACAAAAAUAAUGAUAUGUAUAUAUAGAGGGGCGUAGCCAGGGGGGCUGGCAUGGGCCCCGGCCCCCCCUAAAAUGUAUUAUUAUAUUUUAGGCCCUUAAAAGUUUUUAAAAAUUUUAAAUUAGUAAAGGUAAAAUUGCACUUUGGUCCCCCUAAAAUUAUAAAAAUUUGAUUUAAUCCUUUACAAAUUAUAAAGAUAUAAACUAUAGAAAAUUAAAAUUUCAUCUGGCCCCCCUAAAAAAAUUUUCUGGCUUCGCCCCUGUUUAUAUAUGUAUAAUUGUAUAUAUGCUUUUAGCUAUUGAAAAUUUAUAAAAUUUUAAGUAAAUAAAUGGUAAAAUUAUAAUUUAGUCUCACAAAAAAAUAUAAUAGCAUAUUUUCCCCUAAACUUUGGCCAAUUUUCUAACGUGAUACUUAUACUUUCAAAAUGCCUGUAUUUGUAUCCGAACUUUUGCACCAUUAACCAAUCUAGUACCUCUGACGAUGUUAAUUCUAACAUGGCAGGGCGUGUGGCCCUCAAAAAUUGCAACAUGUAUCGCCUAUUUCAGCCAGGGGCCGUAUAUGAAACAUACCAUUAAGUAUUUUUACUAAAAAUUAAAAAUAAAAGAAAUAAUUGCUUUUUACUUCAAAUAGUUAUGAUUUCUUUUGCAGACACAUUGUUGACUUUCUUCUUCCUUCUUUACUUAUGGCAUUAUUUUAUUGUAUAUAUUUAAAUCAGAAAAUUUGUCAUUGUCUUCUUCCCGUAGAAUACUAUUGUUGGUGGAUUUGUGUGUUUCUGUAAAAUAAAUGGAUGGAGGAAGAUAUAGGUGUAGGAAAUCUAGUAUCUCAACCUCAAAUUCAUUUACAACAAGUCAGUCAAGGAAAACCAAGUGUUAUUGUAGUGUCCAAGCUCCGAUUUGUGUUUCACAAAUUCUAUGCGUGAGGUAAUGUCUUCUGCUUUAGUUUGUAUUUACUUGAUGAAACAGGUAAAUGUCUUUUUUUAGGGUUUAGGGUGUCAAUUUUUACAAUUUGACCAAAUUGAAAAGAACAACCAAACACCCAUACUUUUAGCGGCAAUUGUUUUAGCAGAGAAAAUAAAAAGAAUAAUUAUCUAUCAACUUUUUUAGAUUUGAAUCGGUAAUUGAAUUGGUUAAACUAUCAAUUUAUUGGUCUAAUUAAUUCAAUCGAUCCAUUUAGUUCAAUUAAACUAAAUCAUUACAAAAAUGAUUUAAUCGGUUCAUAUUGUUUCCGAUCCGAUCCAAUUAGUUUGACCAGCCAACCCAUUUCUAUUCAAACAACAAUGCUAUUCUCUUCUUCUUUUACUUAAAAUAUAUAAUCUAUUGGUCGAGUGUUCACCUUCCUUAAAAAUAACUUGAGUUUGAAACAUCAUUCUAUAUAUAUAUAUGAUUAAGCCCUAAAACUAUAUAUCAUCUUAUAUCUUACAAUUAAGGAGGAAAAAAAUUAAUUUAAUAUUUAGGUUACGUUUUAUUUGUUGAAUAUAAAAAUUUAAUUUAAUUUGAACAAUUUUUAAUACAUGCCACUUUCAUCACAUGAGAAACAAUCAAUAUAUUUAAAAUAUUUCAAAAAUAAAAAAUUCAAUCACAAAUUUUUUUAGAAAAUACAAAUGUAAUAAAAUAAAGAAUGAAAAAUAUUUAAAAUUAAAAAGUUUCAUUUUUUUAAUUUUAAAAAAUAAAAUAAAACAUAUAUAUUCUAAAAUUCAUGAAAUUUCAAAAACUGCAUAAAUAUUUAAAAAAAAUAUGUAAAAAACAGAAUAUGCAAAUUGUUUAAAAAAAUUCAAAGAAUUAUACUUUUUAACAUUUUAUAUUUAAAAUUCAUAGAAACUAAAACUUUUUGGUUUUUGAAUUUUUAAAAACUAAAAAUCAUAAUUUUUGGAAAAAAAUACUUCAAACAAAAUAAAAAUACGAAACUAUUUCUAAAAAUCUGGGAAAAGUAAAAAUUAAAAAAAUCAAAUAAUUAUAUUUUAAAAAAUAGGAAAUUUUGAAAAUCAAAUUAAUUUUUUUUCUUUUAAAUAUCACAUUUUAAGAUGAAAUAUAAUUCAAGGAUAAAAUAGUAUAUUUGCCCAAGAUAAAGAUUAUUAUUAUUAUUAUUAUUAUUUAGUGACAACAGUUUUUGGGCCUUCAAGCAGUGAUUGAUUUCUAUAAAAAUAAGAGAAUGUUCUCAUAUGAUAACUUGUCCUAAUCAUAGCCCCAUAUAUUUCGGCCUAAUACUACAUUUAUAGAAUGAAUAAGUUGCUUAAUUUCACUUUUAUAUAUGUAAAUAUUAUAUAUAUUUUUUCCAAAUAUAUUUUCCCCAAAAAUGCUUAAGUGAUAGUAGCGAUUAAUUAUUUGUAAUUGGGUUAAUGGUAUGGAUGGCCCUGUACUUUGGGGUUUGAUCUAGCGUGGUAUCUAAAGUUUCAAAAUGUUCAAUUAAGUAUUUGUACUUUAUUUUCGUUAACCGAUGUUGUAACACUUCAUACUAGGCUCGAUCGUUGAGUUCAAGUUAUGGGAUGUCACAUUCAUUAUCGAAGCAACUAUGAUCACACUAACAAAUCAAAUAAACAAUUUACGCAUGUCAUUAAGCUCAAUUCAUAUUUACAAUAUGUUAUAUAAUUAAAAUUGGGAUUUAGACGAGUUUACGAAAACUCCUUCAAUAAACUAAGAUCAUAUGAGGAAUAAAAUGUGAAAUAUUCAAAACUAUUGAUUUGGCAUCGCGACGUCAAGGGUCUGAAGUUGCAAUGUCACCUACUAUUUCCCAAGUAGCCAACUGGUACCAACUCAUAUUAGCCUAUAACAUAUUCAAACCAUUUGAGCAUAAUACACAUUCUAAACACUUCAUAUACCACCAAUCUUAUGACAUUACUAACCAAAUUAACAAAUUCACCAUUCACAAACUAAACCAAACCAUCAUGAUUUCAAAAUGACCAUUACAUUACACAACAGACUCAAACUUUAGGUACAUUUCAUAUAACAAAAUAUAAGAAACUAUACAAACGUUACUAAGUCAAAAGUUGCAGAUCGGUUGCUAGAUUAUUCCUCUAGUUUUCGAGAUCUGCAAAUAUCUGCACACGGAAUAAAUAAAUUUUACGUUGAGCGAUAAAACUUAGUGGUACUUUCAUGAUUCAAGUCAAUAAAAACAAAAAUAUUAACAUAAAAAGUACAUAAUCAUUAUAUGACCAAGUUUCAACCAUUUCAUUUACUAUUCAUGUAUAAUGUCAAAAUUAUGCACAUUCUCAUUUUACAAACCAUAUGCAUAUUUCAUAUAUAUGAAUAAAUACAUACCAAUUUCAUCAACAUUCCAUAGCCCUUAUUUUACUCUUGUCAUCCUAGGUUGCUCGGCAACGAUGACUUUUAGAAUUCGAAUGUUCUACCAUCUUGGGUGGCUAGGUAAUGAUGGUUCUCACGAUUUAGAUUUUCUACCAUCCUAGAUGGCCCAACAACAAUGGCUUUCACUAUUUGUAUAUUCUACCAUCUCGAAUGUCUCAACAAAAAUUCUAAAAUUUUUUAUUUAAAAAAAUAUAUAAAUAAUCUAAAUAAUAUAUAAAGAAAGUUAAAAUUUUGAAAAUUUUCUAAAACAAUAAUUUUGGGGUCUAAAUAAGUUAAUUAAUUAUUCAAGUUUGUCAUAUUAAAGUUUCUUAUUUAUUAUUAUUUUGCUUUAAAAAAAUUUUCAAAUAUAUAUGGUUUCAAAUUUAUAUACUCUCUAACAUUAAAAUAGUUAUAUUGUAACAAGAAUUUAAUUAAACAUUUUAUAUUUUUUUAAUUUAACUCAAACAAUUUCACUCGAUUCUACUUAAAUUGAAUUUCAUUUCACUCGACUCGAUUUAAAAAAUUUUCAAAUCGAGUUAAGAUGAUAAAAUAGGACUUAUUAACUCAAUUAACUUAAAUUUUUUUCACUCGAUUCGAUGGAACACUCAUCCCUAGUUUUGACCACUCAACUUUUAAAACGUAUGUAAUGGCCAUUACUAAUUGUUACAUUGGUGCCACUCAUUUAUUAUCUCACAUUAAAAUGAUGACGUGACACGUUAAUUUAAAGGGUUAAGAACUAAUUUUGUCCUUAAAAUAUAAAUAUAUAUGUUUUUCAUAUUUAAAUUUUUUUAAUAAUUAUUCUAAAAAAAUUUUAAAAUUUUAAAAAUAAACUAAAAUUAUUAAAAAUAUAAAAUGUAUUAUAAAGAUUAAAUAAAAAAUUUAUAUUAAUAUUAAAUAAAAUAAAAACCCUCUCAACCGUCAAUAAGGUCAAGGUGUUGCAAUCUCUGAAAAUCAAUGUUGUAAGGGAUGUAAGGAAAUGGAUACCUUGAGGCAAAUAUUUCAGGUUCUGGCGUCUAGUAAUGGCUAAAAGCCUCAAAAGGAUUAAGCGCCCCACUCCAUUCUCGGGUAGAAACCUCUGUUUCGUGGUUAUCGAUUGCAUAGUGAGAUCGCUCAAGUUCUGUACAUCUCUUGGCAACUCUUCAACAGUCGUACACCCAUCAAGUAUCAAAGUCUGCAAAUUUUUUAGCAAGUAAAAUUUGGGAUUUCCUUAACUCUUUCAUUCUUGGCGGUGGGGGGUGGGAAGGAGAUGGAGGGGAAGGGGAGACAGUGGCGGAAAGGGAGAGGGACGACGGGGGGAAGACGGUGGGGGAGGGUUUAUUUCAUUUUAUAUUAAUAUAAAUAUUAAAAAAAUUAUAUUGCAUUUUAUAUUUUUAUUAUUUUUUAAAAUAUCAUAAUAAUAUUUUAAAAUUAUAUCACUUGACCUUUUUUUCUUGACGAAAGUCAAGACAUUACAAUUUCUCAGCGGCCUAACACAUGUUAACGAUCCAACGUGGCAAAAUAUUAUUGGUUAGAAGGUAUAGAAUGAUUACCUGUAUCCAGACUGUAUUCAGUGCCGACGAAAGAAAUCCUUGUUUCUAAUGACAGAUUUAAUUUCGUCGGCAAGGAUACGCAAUCUCCAUUUGCCGUCGUUUUAAUCACGUGGUAGAUCUAAAACUUUAAAAGGGGAAAUAUUUUUGUUUUCACGUGUCCAACAAACGAAAGGUUGAUUUAUGAGUUGUCGCCUUUCCGUGGUGAAAGCAAUUAGUUCUCUUCACCGACACUCUCUUCGCCAUCAAUUUUGUCAUGUUAUUACGAUGAAGACAAUAUUAAAUAUACAAUCAAUACUGUCUAUAAUAAUAAAUAAAUAAUUUUAUAUAUCAAUUUAAAUUUAAUGUAAUUUACACAUAAAAUAUUUUAAUUAUAUACAUAAAACUUUAAUAUUUAUUUAAUUAUAUUUAUUUAAAGAAAUAAAUAUAGUAAUUUAUUAUUGAUUGGAUCUUAACUUAGUUAAUAUUGACAUUAUUGUCAAAAUAAAAGAAUAUAAUUUCGAGCGUGUUAAAGUGUAUUUAUCUUUUUAUUUAAAUCUUGUGGGGAGGUGAUUAUCUUAAAGAAUUACUUUUUGUUAAAUCUAUAUUUUGUAAAAUAAAAAAUAGGUAAAUUAUACUCAAAGGUCACUAAAUUAUUAGUAAAUUUAUAUUUUGGUUAUUCAAUUUCAACAAUUUUAACAAGUUUUCAUUUAAGUUGUUAGGUUGUAAAAUCGCUAUAUGACAUUCUCUAUUUACACCAAUUACACAAAUCAAAAGCUCUUUCAUUCCCCUUCUCUUCUACAAUUAACUUUUUUUUUUAUUAAAUAGUUUUGAACGUUACAAAUUUGUGAGUUAAAAUCCAAAUAAUUUUCUUCUCUGAUCUCUAAUACUAACCAUUAGGACUACUUAGAUUUAGGAUAUUCUAUUCUACGCACCAAUGGGUAUUGAUUCACUGUACUGAUAGUCGAAUCAUCUAUUGGAGCUUACUAGAUAAAUUUAAAAAAAAAACUUAACAGCUUAAUGACUUAAAUGAAAUCUUUCGAAUAGUUUAAUAAUUAUUUUGUAAUUUUUUAAAAUUAAAUAAUUAAAACAUAAUAAUCAUCAAAAUUCAUUAAAUUUUUGGAAUGAGAAAAGAUGUUUUCUAAUUUAAUUUAAAAUUGAAAAACAAAACAUACUUCUAUUUUAGUGGGUAUCAAUUCUUCGUCAUGAACAAUGGAAUCACCCUUUCCGUUUCGUGCAAUACAAGCUGUAGAUGUUGGUACCUCAUGCUGCAAAAUGUUGUACGCCCAGGGCUUCCAAAAAAGGCAGUUAAUUAUAGCGGGUAUUUAUUCCCUUUCUUGAACCCUCCUAAAAUUCCCCUCCCAACUGCCUUUGCUUUCCCAAUAAGCAUCCCUUCAGUAAUUUACAACCUAUUUUUAUUCUCUUAAUAAUAAAUUUAGCAUUUUAAUUUUUUUUAUUAAUUUAGUUCUUAUUUUUUAAAUUAAUUUUAUAUUUUAUUUGGUUAAAUUUUUUAUAAUUUUUAAAUUAUUUAUCGAUGUAAUAUAUAAAAAAUAAUAUUAUAUCAACAUAAAAUACACGUGAAUUAUCAUAUAUCUUGUCAUACCAACAUUGUUAAAAGAAUUAAAUUUUAAUCAAUAUUUUUGUUAAAAAAAUAAUUUGACAUUUUUAAAAAAAUUAAUAAUCUAAUUUAAUUAAAAAAAUAAGAAUUAGAUUGACAAAAUAUAUAAAUAUUAUGAACUAAAUUUGUCAUUAUAAUUUUUUUAAAUAUUAAUAUAUAAAAUCGAAAUAAAUAAAUUUUUUUCUUUUUCUUUUGACAAAGAGGGUGAAAACACAUUUUCAAAGUUAAGGUGAUGUGUCAGUUUCUUAUUGAAAUUACAUUUUUUAAAAAAUACAUAUUUUUUCUUCAAAUUUAAUCAUUUGCCUUGCUUGUUCAAUAAUAUAGUGUUUUUUCUGUAUAUUUAGCUACAAGGGGAGUUUGAAGAAGAGAAAGAACAAAGCAAAAGGAAAAAUAGAAGAAGCCUUUGUUUGGGGUUCUUCAACUUAGCUUUCCAUAUAUUCAUCCAUGGCUUCAAAGCUUCUUUUGAUUGCUGUAUUUGUUCUUGAUCUCAUUGCUUUUGGUUUAGCUGUUGCAGCUGAGCAAAGAAGAAGCACUGUAAGUUUGCUAACUUUCCCCUUCACUUUCUUUUAUGGAUUUGGUUGUUUUGGUUCACAAUUAGUUCAUACGAUUUCUGGGUAUACUGAAAGUUUGCAACCUUUUUUUCCUGGAAAUCGAAGGAAAAUGAAAGAAAGUGAGUCCUUUUGUUUGAAAAAAAGCGGUAAAUCUUGAUUUUAGCUUUCUGGGUUUUUUGUUUCAUGUAAGAAUUUUCUGGGAAAGAAAAGAAACACUGUAUUCAAGCUUGAUCUUUUGUGUGUCUGUAUAUAUACACAUACACAUACACAUACACAUACACAUACACAUACACAUACAUAUAUAUGUAUUCUCUUUCUGCUAAUCAAAUAGUAACGGAAAUUGAUUUCAUCAUUUUUAUAAUUCUCAAUUGUGUAUGAACUUCACCAGAUCUCAGCUGAAUUUCUAUAAAAAUAGUAGAUCUGAGUUUAUGGUUUUUAUCCUCUGUCACUAACUUAAAAAAGGUGCCUGGUCCCCUUGGUUAAAUUGUGCAACUUUAACUUUAGCCGCUCCAAAAUGUUAAUAAUUCAAUUUAAUCCCUUUGUUAGAUUGAAAAUUUACAUUUUUGCUCCUUUCAAAAAGUUAAAAAAUCAAUUAAGCCAUUUUAAUACAGAACUUUUAUAAAUUCUUUAGCUUUUUGAACCCCAAACUUUUAUAAAUUUACCCCAUCACAUUGGCUUUUCACCCCAGGGUCUAAUGGAAGAACUAGUCUUUGCUAGAUUUAGAAGCCAAACUGUUUCAUCUUUUGAAACAAUAUUUUAUGAUCUAAUUGGUGAUGUUGACUAAAUUAUUGACAACCAAGCUUCAAGAUCUUGCUUUUUGUUUAUUGUACCCUAUAUGAUAGUUUAAUAUAAAGUAUGAUAGCUGAUCUUCUAACACGUUCUAGUAUUCUAAUAAAUAAUCAAAGGGUAAAAGUCUCAUGAAGGUUCUUGUACUAUGAGUCAGAUUGUAUUUUGCCUCUUCUACUUAAAAAAUGGGCAAGUUAGUACAUGUACUUUAGAUCAAAGAGUAAAUUAGUUCUUCUGUUAAAGUUUUCAUUUAUUUCUACUGUUAAAAACUAGUCUUUGCACGUCAGCACGAGAUACAUGUGGCGUUUGCUAUGUUAGUUGUUAACAAUAAAAAUGGAUAAAAAUUUCAACAUGAAAGACCUGUUUGCUCUUUAAUCUAACAUAUAGGAAUUAGUAUGCUUAUUUUCUGAGUAGAGGAGACAAAAUACAAUCUGAUUCAUAAUAUAAGGGCCUCCAUGAUACUUUUAUCGGGAUCAAAGGUAUAUAUCCAACAUGAGAAGAAUUUUUUAUUCCGCUUCAACUCAAAGCAGCUAACAUUGGGUGUAUGUUUAAUGGCAGGCCAAGAUUGUGCAGGAUAAUGAAAUUCAAUACAACUAUUGUGUAUAUAACUCAGACAUAGCAACUGGCUAUGGUGUUGGUGCAUUUUUGUUCCUCAUGGCUAGCCAAGCCCUUAUAAUGGUUGCCAGCCGAUGCUUUUGCUGUGGAAAGGCUUUGAACCCUAGUGGUUCAAGGGCUUGGGCAGUCAUCCUUUUCAUUGUUUGCUGGUAUGUAACCAACUUUAGGUCAAAUUUAUGGUUUUUGCUUAUUUGAAUGGUUUCACUCAUUCUUUGAAUUGCAUGUGUAUGACAGGUUAUUUUUCCUAAUAGCCGAGAUAUGUUUGUUGGCCGGAUCAGUACGGAAUGCAUACCACACAAAAUACCGGACCAUCUUCAGCGAGCAGCCACCGUCUUGUGAAACUUUGAGGAAGGGAGUGUUUGGUGCAGGGGCUGCCUUCAUUUUCUUGACUGCUAUUUUCAAUAAGUUCUACUAUAUUUGCUAUUCAAAUGCUAGGGAAAACAGCUUCCGGCCAUACGGUGGCGGCGGAGAGGCUGGUGUCGGCAUGGGAGCCUACAAAUAAGCUAUGACCUCAUGAACUCUAUGCCAUUGCCAUCAUUUUGCUUACUUCGUUGUCUGUUUUUUUUCUUUUCUUUUUUGACUUCCAUUUCGUGUUCUUUAAGGUUUCGAUAUAGGAGAUAGAUCGUAUUUCAUAUAAUAUUCAUAAAUUUUUUAAUUUCAUUUUCGUCCCCAGUCCAAGGUUCUGUAAAAUUUUGUGAAGUUUCUUGUAUACAAUCAAAUAACAAAAAGAUUGGCAUUUGUUUUCCAGCUCUUCAUGCAAUGCUGGUUAUGUAUUUUUGAAUGAAUGACAUGAUCUUUAAUGGGGUUUGCUUGCUAUUUGUUAAACAAAUAAACCCAAGCCUGAUUUAGAAGGCCCUUGUCUUCUCAAUGGUCAAGUUUCAAUUUUUGUCACAGUUUCAAUUUUGGUCCCUAUAGUAAGCUUCAAUUUAAGAUUUAAUCUUUAUACUUCAACUUCUUGGCAUAAUUUAGUACCUCAAUUUUUACAAUGUCAUUGAUUAGCAUAAAUGUUUUAUUUUAAUUAAAGUAAGGAUAUAAUUUUUAAGAGUUAAUACCAUUAAAAUUAUCUAUUAAAAUCACGUCCAUUAAAAUGCUUUUUUUUGUUACAUGGUUACUAUUUGAGUAUUUAAAAAAAAAUUAAAAUAUCAUUUCAAUGAGUUCAACAAAAAAAUUUAAUGGUGCCAACAAUUGGAGUUGAAUUUUUAAAUUAAAAAAAGAGGGAUUAAAUUCUUAAAAAUUAAAGUAGGAAGACUAAAAUCUAAAUACUCAAAGAGUACAGAAACUUGAAAUAUAUUUUAACUUUCAAAUAUUUUUCUAUAAUUUGAUCAACAAACAAUUAACUCAAUUUGAAACGUGGUAGAGGACCAUACUAGUUUAAACUAAUUGUGACGUCUUUGUGUAUUUUUCUUUUGUCACAAAGUAUUUUAGAUUUAUAUAACUUUUCACAAGUUCAAUAAUUUGUAUUACAUUAAGUUUGAUAUGUUCAUAUAAUCGGUAAAAGUAUCACUAAACUUCUUGUACUAUAUUUUAGAUUGCAUUAUAUCUCUUUUACUAAAAAAAAGAGAGUAAAUUAGUCACAGUAUAUUAGAUGAGUGAGCAAAACAGUUCUUCCGUUAAAAUUUAGUGCUUAUAUAUAAUGUAUAAUAACAAAUUUAACUCUUAAUCUUUACACAUUUAUUCAAUUUGACUCCUACUAUUUUCUUGGAAAUAAAUUGGAAAAUUUUGAAUCUAAAGAGGAUGAAGGGUAAAAAAAUAGUAACAAAUUAAGAAAAAUAAUUAAGCCUUUUAAAAUUUAAAAAUUAUUAAAUAAAUCAUGAAAAUUAUAAAAAAAAUUAUAAAAAUCUUAAAUUUAUAAAUUCUUUAUUAAAAAAAUAACAAUACCAACUGCUAAAAUCUAAUGGUUAUAAGAUUUUUUUUAAAAAUAGACCUCUAUUUUUUUAUUGAGUCAGUAUUGUUAUUUUUUAAUGAAACUUUUAUAAUUUUAAAAUUUUUUGAAUUUUUUUUAUAAUUUUUAUGUUUUUUAAUAAUUUUAAAUUUUAGAAGGGUUUAUUUUUUUUUUUAAUUUGUAACUAAGGUCUUUUUUAGUCCUUUAGCCUUAUUAGUUUGAAAAUAUUCUAAUUUACUUCCGAUAAAAGAGUGGGGUCAAAUUGAAUAAGUGUAAAGGUUGAAGGCUAAAUUUAUUAUUAUACUUUAUAUAUAAAUACCGAAAUUAGCAUUUGUGGUGCAACUUUAACAGAGAAACUAUUUUGUUCACUCAUCUGAUAUAGAAAUUAAUUUACCCAUUUUUCCGAUAAAAAAACUAAAAUAUAAUCUAUAAUACAAUACAGAAGGUUUUGUACUGCUUUUUACCUUAUAUAUUUAUAUCAUAUUUAUUUUUCUUUUCAUUUUAUAUUAUGUAAUAUUUCUACUAUAUUUUUUCCCCAUAUUAUACCAACAUUACUAGAUAUCUAAUCAUGCAAGUCACACAUUACUCAUUUCCAGACAUGGCGGUAGCAUGUUGUAUCUAUUUCAUUCAUUGUCGAACACCCCAGCUCACCUAUCUACACUUUUACUUCAAAAUAUAAAUCAAUUUAUUAUUACCAUUAUAUCAGAAUAAUAUUAUAAAUUUAAUUUUUGUAUUUGUUAUAAAUUACAUAAUAUAUAAAAAUAAUAUAAUAUAAUAUAUUACACUUAGAAACAAACCCGACUAAAUCUUUGAACAUGAACCUGACCUAUAUUUUAAUCAGGCUUAAUUAAUUAUCCAAGUCCAUUUUGCAGGUAUAAUAUUUUUUACUUAAACUCUCUUAAAUUUUAAAUGAACUUUCGAACUUGGACGAGUAGUACUAAUUAAUUAAAAUAUCUAGUUACAUAUAGUAACUAGAAAAUCCAAAUCCAAAUAUCAUCUGAAUGUACACAAAACUAAUUUUACGCUUAUUUUUAAUGACCUUGGUUCAUUUUACUUUAACCAAAAUUGAAACAAUAAUAACUAAUGAAUAAAAUUAUCUGGUUCUUUGAUAUAUUCUUCCAAUAACAUUUCAACUAUAUUUUUUUGGGUAUUUUCAUAUCCGUUUUACGAUUCAAGUUUGAAGUUCACGAAACAUUUCAACUAUAAUUUGCCAAUUAUAUUUUAUUUAUUUAUUUAAAAAAAAGUUAUAUUUAUAAUAAUUUUACUAUACUUUUUCUUUUAUAAUUUUGGUGAGAUUUACCCCUAACCCAUAAAAAAUAGUAAGAUGCUUUAAUAAAAAAAUAUAUUUCUUUCUUUUUUUUUUUUCUAUCACUUCGAUCAAAAAAGAAAACGUAUCCACUUAUUGUUGUUUACCAAUUUCAAUUUAUUUAUUCGAAAAUAAAUAAAAAAUUAAUUUACAAGAAAAUGCAUUAAUUUAUUAUUAAAUAAAAUAGUUGCAUAAUAAAAACAAAAACAAAAGUAAAUUUUAUGAGGAUAAUUUAGUGCUUCUAUAAAUAGGUUUACAUGUAACUAACAAGUCUACAAUAUCUAAAAAAAAAAAAACUCACUAAGCUGAUUAUUAGCAACAAAGUUUGACAAAACAUUCUGUCAAGGAUCCAGCUAACUCUAAUAUAAUAGGUUAGCUUUGAAUCAAGGUGAAUCAAUGUUCAACACUCCCCCUUCUUCAAAGCUACAACCAGCAAAUUGUUCUUUGAAAAGGUCGUGUUUUGCUUGCGGAUUCAAUUUUGUAAAAAUGUUGGCAACUUGCUCAUUUGUAUCGCAAGCCUUUUAAAUAAUUUUUCUGUAAAAAUAAGGCUUCAAAUAAAAUGAUAAUAAAUAUUGAUGUACUUGACUCUACCAUUAAAAGCUAGUUUUUUUUUUUUUGCCAUAUCAAUCUUUUGUCAUAAAAUAUCUCCUUUACACGUAUCUGUUUUUGAUUAAAAUAUGCAAGAAUUCUCCUUAGCGAAACUACUCGACAAGCUGAAGAUGUUGCAGAUGUUGCAGCUACAGUAUAUAUAUAUUUUUUAAUUUGUUGAGAGAUAUUUAUUUUAAAUUUUUAAUAUUUUGAUGUAUUAUAUUUAAAAAAAAUUAAUAUGAGUGGGUUGGGCUCAAUUUUAGCAUUUUAUUUAGAUCGGGCUUAGACAAAAUUUUAGACUCAUUUUUCGGGUUAGGUCCAGGCCUAGCAAACGGAUCUAAAAUUUUAGUUGGGUCCGACCUAAACUCAGCCUGACUCAUGGACACUUCUAAUUCCACAUGUAUUAAUUGAUUUAUUUAUGAUUAAAAUUAUCUAAUUCGAUACUGAAGUCUUUUUGUUUAUAUUUUUAAGAAGUUAGUUGCAUUAAAGUAAUAAAAAAUAAAAAAUUUAAACAUAUAAUAUGUAAUAAAAAAUAUAUAAAUAAUUUUUCACUCUAACUAUCAUAAUUUUAGUUUUUAAUUAAUUUGGUACAUGAAUUGAUUCUAAAUUAAAUUAUUAGUGAUAAAUAUUGCUUAUUAUGGAUUUAAAAACUCAAAACAAAUAAUUAAAAGUAAAUAGAACACAUAAUAAUCUCUUAAUUAGUUUAUAAAAUAAAAAAAUCAUUAUUAAUGUAACAAAAAGGAAAUUCAAAUAACUCUCACAUUUUUUUUUUGUUAUGAAAAAAUAAAGUUUCAUAAUUUUUUCUUAUAUAGUUAUUGAUUGAACAAUUGGAUUUUUCGAAACCAUAUUUUUUAACUCUAGAUUUAAUUUUUAAUUUCAAGGACCAACUUCGAGGACUAUUUUUAUGUACCUUGAAAGAAAUAUCAUAUUGGCAACAACAAAAGUAAAUCUAAAGUGUUUUUUUUUUUUAGGUUUUCCCAUUUUCUUUAGCCAAAAUUUUAUUAAUCAAAGAAUUAUAAAACAUUAUAUUCAGAAUAAAACUAAUGAAAAAAAAAAGAGAAAGAAAUAAAGUUUCAAGACAAAUUCAUUGGUAUCAAGAUUGGCUCGGAAAACGACUCAUUAGAUGAAAGAGUUUUUUUUUUUGAAUUUAUUGAAUUAUAUAGAAUUAAGAUUAAAUUUAUAGAGUAUGUAAGUAUUGAUGACUAAAUGUGUUAUUAUACUAAUUAAAAAAAGGCUUUUUGUUAUCAAUUAACAGUGGGUGACUAAAACAGGAAUGCGGGCAUAAUUGGUUUACCAUUUGUAUAAUUUACCUUUUUUUUAAAUAUUCUAGGGAUGGAAUUUUUAAAUUUUAUAAGGAAAGUUAAAAAAUUAUUAUAUUCCUUAUUUAUUUAGUUUUUUUUUUAAAUUUUUUAACCAAUUAAAGACAUUUAGUGGUUUCUUAAAUUUACUUGUAGAUUUUAAAAAGUUCAUCCUAACUAAAAUAUGUAAGAAAAAUAUAAAUCAACGAAUAGCUACUUCUUGGAUAAAAUUUCAGCUACAUGGACACAGGAAAGAAUUGUGUACAUUGGACACAAUCCAUGAAUUGAUAUAGAUUUUCUCAGUUGAUAUAAUAAUUUGAAUCAAAUUACAUAUAUUUCAAAUUUUUAAUAAAUUAUUGAUUUGUACUAGUUGGACCAAACUUGCCACUCUCAUUCCAGAAACAUCGGCUCCCCCCUCCAAAUUCAAACCCCUCCCUAAUCCAUUCCACUGUACCUGACCAUAGACCACUCCCUAUCCCUUUCAAUCUUCCGAUAAACCAGCCCAUAACUAAAGGGGGUGGAACAUCCUUGGUGGGUGGGGACAACUCCAAAAUAUCCCCAUACUCAGGGACUAAAACAUUAUUAAAAUGUUUCAGGAAAUCCCAAACUCAAUGCUCAUUGGCUACAUUGAAUUGAUGUGGCAGAUAAGUUUACCCUCCUUAAUUAUCUUAUCUUUUCAUACCUGUCACUAUUUAAUAUCUUUGCUCGUUUCCCACAAUGAACGAACACUCACUUCUACUACUAAGCUCACCCUUCACUUUGGUCCACUACACAGCCAUUUCAAAGUGGUACAUACAUGGCUCUACAAGCUGCUGCUUUGGUUCCAGCUACUUUCUCUGUACCAAAAGAGGUUUGUUUUCAUCUUUGUACUGAAGAACUGGUUCUUGUUUUUUUCUGAUUCAAUUUGGGGUUUUUGACAUUUUGGGUUUCUAAUUUGUAGGGAAAGUCUGGUGCUUCUUUCAAGGAUUCAUCUCUCUUUGGAGUGUCACUUUCUGAUCACAUCAAAGCUGACUUCACCUCUUCUGCUUUAAGAUGCAAGGUUGGGAUUCUGUGUUCUUUAAAUUGGACAACUAUGGUGUUUAUGCUGUUUUUGUGCCUUUAAUUGAGCCUUUUUCCUUUGUAGAGGGAAUUCAACCAUAGAACUGGGGCUGUUAGAGCCCAAACAACAGCCACUGCAACACCAGCAAUCACCAGAUCUACAGUGGAUGGAAAGAAAACACUAAGAAAGGGUAGUGUGAUCAUCACUGGUGCCUCCUCUGGAUUGGGUUUAGCCACUGCAAAGGCCUUGGCUGAAACUGGGAAAUGGCAUGUUAUAAUGGCUUGCAGGGACUUUCUCAAGGCUGAGAGAGCUGCUAAGUCUGCUGGAAUGUCAAAAGAAAACUACACCAUUAUGCAUUUAGACCUUGCCUCCGUCGACAGUGUCCGACAAUUCGUCGAUAGCUACAAGCGAUCAGGCCGACCUCUUGAUGUACUUGUUUGCAAUGCUGCUGUUUAUCAACCAACUGCCAAGGAACCCACUUUCACUGCUGAAGGAUUUGAACUUAGUGUGGGGACUAAUCACCUCGGUCACUUCCUUCUUUCGCGGUUAUUGCUCGAUGAUUUGAAACAAUCCGAUUAUCCAUCGAAACGCCUCAUCAUCGUCGGUUCCAUAACAGGUAAUUUGCUAUACAAAUGUCAUUCAAAAUGAGCAUUUUUGUAUGAAAUUGUGGUAUUGGUGUACUAAUAUGGAAUGAAUCAGGAAACACAAAUACAUUGGCCGGUAAUGUACCUCCGAAGGCAAACCUUGGGGAUCUAAGAGGACUUGCAGGUGGACUAAAUGGACUGAACAGCUCUGCCAUGAUUGAUGGUGGAGAUUUUGAUGGUGCCAAAGCAUACAAGGACAGCAAAGUCUGCAAUAUGCUCACUAUGCAAGAAUUC